GUCAAUCUUUGAACUCUCGAUUUUUAUUCGUGGGAAGGGAAAAAAUGAGUAAAAACCCUUAUUGAGACUUUGGAUUCGGGGGUUGGUUACGCGAAGGGAAGGUGCUAGCACCCUAUGCGUCUACGGUAUUCCGUAGGAACCUCUUACCUAAAUUAUCUUGUGCUAAAUUCAUUGCUUAUUUGAAAAUUAUUACCUAAAAGUCUAAGUGAAAGAAUGGAGGGAGAAGAAGUAUGUUUUUGGUUAUUUUUAUUUGAUUUGGAAGGAUAAAAAUCCUAUGCCUACA
rnacentral:lncRNA from 1 species